rnacentral:rRNA from 1 species
CACCCGUUCCCAUACCGAACACGGAAGUUAAGCUUCUCAGCGCCGAUGGUAGUUGGGGGCUGUCCCCCUGUGAGAGUAGGACGUUGCCAGGC